GGCCGGUUGGCUCAGUCAGUUGAGCGUAGCGCUAAUAAUGCUAACAACACUAAGGUCAUGGGUUCGAUUCCUGUUUGGUCCC
rnacentral:tRNA from 1 species